UACGUAGGGCGCAAGCGUUGUCCGGAAUUAUUGGGCGUAAAGAGCUCGUAGGCGGUUUGUCGCGUCUGCUGUGAAAACCUAAGGCUCAACCUUGGACUUGCAGUGGGUACGGGCAGACUAGAGUGUGGUAGGGGAGACUGGAAUUCCUGGUGUAGCGGUGAAAUGCGCAGAUAUCAGGAGGAACACCGAUGGCGAAGGCAGGUCUCUGGGCCACUACUGACGCUGAGAAGCGAAAGCAUGGGGAGCGAACAGG
rnacentral:rRNA from 1 species